GAGAAGGAGGAAGGAGAGGAGGGGGAGGGGGCUCUCUCAAUAAAAGAGAAGGAGGAAGGAGAGGAGGAGGAGACAGAAGAUCUGAUUAACACCACAGAAAGACCAGACUCAGAGGAACCAGAGACGUCCAAAUCAGCAAGACGACACCACUGCUCCCUCUGUGGAAAGAGUUGUAACCAGAAAGCACACCUGAAAGCUCAUGAGAGAAUACACACAGGGGAGAAGCCUUACCACUGCUCCCACUGUGGAAAGAGUUUUAACCGGUUAGGGUCCCUGAAAGUGCAUAGGACAUUGCACACAGGAGAGAAGCCAUUUCAAUGUUCCCCGUGUGGAAAGAGUUUAGCAGAGUUAGGGCACCUGAAAGCACACGAGAGAAUGCACACAGGGGAGAAGCCUUACCAAUGCUCUCUGUGUGGAAAUAGUUUUUCCUUGUUAGCAAGCCUGAAAAGACAUGAGAAGAUCCACACAAGAGAUGCGCUUUUCCAAUGCUCCCAGUGUGAAAAUAGUUUUUCCUUGUUAGCAAGCUUGAAAAGACAUGAGAGGAUACACACAGGAGAUAAGACUUUCCACUGCUCCCAGUGUGAAAGGAGUUUUACACGGUUAGGGAACCUGAAAAAACAUAAAAGAAUACACUCAGGAGAAAAGCCUUUCCACUGCUCCCAGUGUGGGAAGUGUUUUACAGAGUUAGGGAACCUAAAAAGACAUGAGAGGACACACACAGGAGAUAAGCCUCAUCGGUGCUCCCGGUGUGGAAAAAGUUUUACCCAGUUAGCACACCUGAAAGUGCAUGAGAGAAUCCACACGGGAGAAAAGCCUUACCAAUGCUCAGACUGUGGAAAGAUCUAUUCCUCAUCGCGGUCACUUAAAAGUCACGUGAGAAUCCACACGGGAGAAAAGCCUUACCAAUGCUCAGACUGUGGAAAGACCUAUUCCUCAUCACGGUCACUUAAAAGUCACGUGAGAAUCCACGCAGGAGGGAAGAAGCCUUCACCCUAGUUUGUAAAUUGUUAUAUUUCACAUCACAUUGACUUAAUUUCUUCUCCUAGUGGAUAUAUUGAUAUUUCACUUCACAUUGACUUAAAAUUCAUCAGAGAACAUACACAGUUCUCCCAUUGUCUUAUGUUGACUGAUAAUGUGUUUACCUGUUUAUACCACAUGAAAUUAAAUGGUGCAAAGUGUACUCAAACAUA